rnacentral:rRNA from 1 species
AUUGAACGCUGGCGGCAGGCCUAACACAUGCAAGUCGAGCGAGCGGCGGACGGGUGAGUAAUGUAUGGGGACUGCCCGAUAGAGGGGGAUAACUACUGGAAACGGUCGCUAAUACCGCAUACUAUCGGAUAACCCAUAUGGGAUUAGCUAGUAGGUGAGGUAAUGGCUCACCUAGGCGACGAUCCCUAGAGGGUCUGAGAGGAUGAUCAGCCACACUGGGACGGAGAAACGGCACAGAGUCCUACGGAGGCAGAAGUGGGGAAUAUUGCACAAUGGGCGCAAGCCUGAGACAGCCAGGCCGCGUGUAUGAAGAAGGCCCUAGGGGUGUAAAGUACUUUCAGGCGGGAGGCGUUACCGACAGAAGAAGCACAGGCUAACUCCGUGCCAGAAGCCGCGGUAAUAC